AACGAACGCUGGCGGCAUGCCUAACACAUGCAAGUCGAACGAGACCUUCGGGUCUAGUGGCGCACGGGUGCGUAACGCGUGGGAACCUGCGCUUAGGUUCGGAAUAACUCCCCGAAAGGGGUGCUAAUACCGGAUAAUUUCUUCGGACCAAAGAUUUAUCGCCUUUGGAUGGGCCCGAGAUGGAUUCGCUAGUUGGUAGGGUAAAAGCCUAUCAAGACGACGAUCCAUAGCUGGUCGGAGAGGAUGAUCAGCCACACUGGGACUGAGACACGGCCCAGACUCCUACGCGUGGCAGCAGUUGGAAAUAUUGGACAAUGGGCCAGAGCCUGAUCCAGCCAUGACGCGUGAGUGAUGCAGGCCUUAGGGUUGUAAAGCUCUUUUACCCGGGAUGAUAAUGACAGUACCGGAAGAAUAAGCACCGGCUAACUACGUG
rnacentral:rRNA from 1 species